UACAGAGGGUGCAAGCGUUGUUCGGAAUCAUUGGGCGUAAAGGGCGCGUAGGCGGCCUGCUAAGUCGAACGUGAAAUCCCUGGGCUCAACCCAGGAACUGCGUCCGAUACUGGUUGGCUUGAAUCCGGGAGAGGGAUGUGGAAUUCCAGGUGUAGCGGUGAAAUGCGUAGAUAUCUGGAGGAACACCGGUGGCGAAGGCGACAUCCUGGACCGGUAUUGACGCUGAGACGCGAAAGCGUGGGGAGCAAACAGG
rnacentral:rRNA from 1 species